rnacentral:rRNA from 1 species
AUAUUUGACAAUGGGGGCAACCCUGAUCCAGCCAUGCCCCGUGAGUGAUGAAAGCCUNNNGGUUGNAAAGCUCUUUCAGUGGGNAAANUAAUGACGGUACCCACAGAAGAAGCCCCGGCUAACUUCGUGCCAGCAGCCGCGGUAAUACGAAGGGGGCUAGCGUUGUUCGGAUUUACUGGGCGUAAACCGCACGUAGGCGGAUUGGUCAGUUAGGGGUGAAAUCCCAGAGCUCAACUCUGGAACUGCCCUUAAUACUGCCAGUCUAGAGUCCGGAAGAGGUGAGUGGAACUCCUAGUGUAGAGGUGGAAUUCGUAGAUAUUAGGAAGAACACCAGUGGCGAAGGCGGCUCACUGGUCCGGUACUGACGCUGAGGUGCGAAAGCGUGGGGAGCAAAC